rnacentral:rRNA from 1 species
AGCGGCGGAUGGGUGAGUAACACGUGGGGAACCUGCCCCUAAGUCUGGGAUACCAUUUGGAAACAGGUGCUAAUACCGGAUAAUAAAGCAGAUCGCAUGAUCAGCUUUUGAAAGGCGGCGUAAGCUGUCGCUAAGGGAUGGCCCCGCGGUGCAUUAGCUAGUUGGUAAGGUAACGGCUUACCAAGGCGACGAUGCAUAGCCGAGUUGAGAGACUGAUCGGCCACAUUGGGACUGAGACACGGCCCAAACUCCUACGGGAGGCAGCAGUAGGGAAUCUUCCACAAUGGACGCAAGUCUGAUGGAGCAACGCCGCGUGAGUGAAGAAGGUUUUCGGAUCGUAAAGCUCUGUUGUUGGUGAAGAAGGAUAGAGGUAGUAACUGGCCUUUAUUUGACGGUAAUCAACCAGAAAGUCACGGCUAACUACGUGCCAGCAGCCGCGGUAAUACGUAGGUGGCAGGCGUUGUCCGGAUUUAUUGGGCGUAAAGCGAGCGCAGGCGGAAAAAUAAGUCUAAUGUGAAAGCCCUCGGCUUAACCGAGGAACUGCAUCGGAAACUGUUUUUCUUGAGUGCAGAAGAGGAGAGUGGAACUCCAUGUGUAGCGGUGGAAUGCGUAGAUAUAUGGAAGAACACCAGUGGCGAAGGCGGCUCUCUGGUCUGCAACUGACGCUGAGGCUCGAAAGCAUGGGUAGCGAACAGGAUUAGAUACCUGGUAGUCCAUGCCGUAAACGAUGAGUGCUAAGUGU